GACCUGGCUCGGGGUGCGAGUGCAGAGGCAACCAAAAAGGAACCCACACCUCCCUCCAGGGCCCAGGGCGCUGUCAGACGGGGCAGCACCCAGGAGAUUCCCUGGGCCUGCAGGAAGCCCUUCCGCGGACCGAAAGAUUUUUCCCCAUUUUGGAGAUGAAGAAACUGAGACUCAAAGCAGCUGAGUGACCUUCCCAAGGACACACACUGACCCGCCCUCUGGGGUGGAAGCUGCCAUCCAAAGCCUGGCAAAUCUGAAAUCCACCACACUGAACAUUCCACAGAGACUGAGCGGUGAUCAGGAUCUGAAUGCACAGGGCUGGUGUUCAGCGAUUGUUUACUACGUUGAAUGUGACCUCCAGGAAAGCAGUUCUGGCCGAGAUCCCUGACAAUGCAGAGCAAGAAGUAAUGUGGAAGGAGGCUCCCCAAGCUGGCUGGCCAUUGUGCUGCUGUGUGUGGAGGUGCUGUCAGUGGCAUGCCCAAACCCAAAGCUGGAAGAGGAAUAAAUUACAAGUGGUCAAGGUUGCAUCCUUUUGAGCCCAGGACCUGCUUGUAAGCCGAGAGGGUUCUCUGGCCCUAAU
rnacentral:sRNA from 1 species